rnacentral:misc_RNA from 1 species
UGUCAGUACUUUAACUGUAUACCGCUUACUGAUGACUUUUGUAAAAACAUGGAGGUCAACAAUCAAAGGGAAUCCACUUACAGUUCCUAUCUCUGACAUUUUCUUAGUAAUGAAUAAAUACAGAAUGUGGCUUUGAUCACAUACUUUCUACACAAAUUUAGGUAUUUACAAGGGAUUUUGGUUGGUUUUGUAGACAAAUACUUUAUUAAUUUAGUAACAAGUUUGUUGUACACAAACAUGCAUUUUUUUAAAGCAGGCAAUAAUAUAGCUGUGUAUGCAUAAUAUUUAUAGAAGAGAUUCAAAGAGUUGCAAAAUUUCUUUUGAUAUUUUAUUUAUAAUUUUACCCUUUCUGUUUUUUUUAUGUUUUUUGUAUUUUUACAAUAGAUAAACAUUUUGAAAUAGUG